rnacentral:rRNA from 1 species
CUCAGAACGAACGCUGGCGGCAGGCCUAACACAUGCAAGUCGAGCGAGGACUUCGGUCCUAGCGGCGGACGGGUGAGUAACGCGUGGGAAUGUGCCCUUCACUACGGAAUAGUCCCGGGAAACUGGGUUUAAUACCGUAUACGCCCUUCGGGGGAAAGAAUUUCGGUGAAGGAUCGGCCCGCGUCUGAUUAGGUAGUUGGUGGGGUAACGGCCUACCAAGCCUACGAUCAGUAGCUGGUUUGAGAGGAUGAUCAGCCACACUGGGACUGAGACACGGCCCAGACUCCUACGGGAGGCAGCAGUGGGGAAUCUUAGACAAUGGGGGCAACCCUGAUCUAGCCAUGCCGCGUGAGUGACGAAGGCCCUAGGGUCGUAAAGCUCUUUCACCAGGGAAGAUAAUGACGGUACCUGGAGAAGAAACCCCGGCUAACUCCGUGCCAGCAGCCGCGGUAAUACGGAGGGGGUUAGCGUUGUUCGGAAUUACUGGGCGUAAAGCGCGCGUAGGCGGACUGUUAAGUCAGGGGUGAAAUCCCGGGGCUCAACCCCGGAACUGCCCUUGAUACUGGCAGUCUCGAGUUCGAGAGAGGUGAGUGGAACUCCGAGUGUAGAGGUGAAAUUCGUAGAUAUUCGGAAGAACACCAGUGGCGAAGGCGGCUCACUGGCUCGAUACUGACGCUGAGGUGCGAAAGUGUGGGGAGCAAACAGGAUUAGAUACCCUGGUAGUCCACACCGUAAACGAUGAAUGCCAGACGUCGGGCAGCAUGCUUGUUCGGUGUCACACCUAACGGAUUAAGCAUUCCGCCUGGGGGAGUACCGGCCGCAAGGUUUAAAACUCACAGGAAUUGACGGGGGCCCGCACAAGCGGUGGAGCAUGUGGUUUACUUCGAAGCAACGCG